rnacentral:rRNA from 1 species
UGGGGAAUAUUGCACAAUGGGCGCAAGCCUGAUGCAGCAACGCCGCGUGAGGGAUGACGGCCUUCGGGUUGUAAACCUCUUUUAGCAGGGAAGAAGCGAAAGUGACGGUACCUGCAGAAAAAGCACCGGCUAACUACGUGCCAGCAGCCGCGGUAAUACGUAGGGUGCAAGCGUUGUCCGGAAUUAUUGGGCGUAAAGAGCUCGUAGGCGGUCUGUCGCGUCUGCUGUGAAAAUCCCCGAGGCUCAACCUCGGGCCUGCAGUGGGUACGGGCAGACUAGAGUGCGGUAGGGGAGAAUGGAACUCCUGGUGUAGCGGUGGAAUGCGCAGAUAUCAGGAAGAACACCGAUGGCGAAGGCAGUUCUCUGGGCCGUAACUGACGCUGAGGAGCGAAAAGCGUGGGGAGCGAACAGGAUUAGAUACCCUGGUAGUCCACGCCGUAAACGUUGGGCGCUAGAUGUGGGGACCAUUCCACGGUUUCCGUGUCGCAGCUAACGCAUUAAGCGCCCCGCCUGGGGAGUACGGCCGC